UACGGGGGGGGUAAGCGUUGUUCGGAAUUACUGGGCGUAAAGGGCUCGUAGGCGGCCAACUAAGUCAUACGUGAAAUCCCUCAGUUUAACUGGGGAACUGCGUGUGAUACUGGAUGGCUUGGAUUUGGGAGAGGGAUGCGGAAUUCCAGGUGUAGCGGUGAAAUGCGUAGAUAUCUGGAGGAACACCGGUGGCGAAGGCGGCAUCCUGGACCAAUAUUGACGCUGAGGAGCGAAAGCCAGGGGAGCAAACGGG
rnacentral:rRNA from 1 species